rnacentral:rRNA from 1 species
GAAGGGGGCUAGCGUUGUUCGGAAUUACUGGGCGUAAAGGGCGCGUAGGCGGCUGUGCAAGUCAGGUGUGAAAGCCCUGGGCUCAACCCAGGAUGUGCACUUGAUACUGCACGGCUAGAGUGUCGGAGAGGAUGGUGGAAUUCCCAGUGUAGAGGUGAAAUUCGUAGAUAUUGGGAAGAACACCGGUGGCGAAGGCGACCAUCUGGACGACAACUGACGCUGAGGCGCGAAAGCGUGGGGAGCAAACAGGAUUAGAUACCCUGGUAGUCCACGCCGUAAACUAUGCGUGUUGGACGUUGGCGAGCCUAGCUCGUCGGUGUCGCAGCUAACGCGUUAAACACGCCGCCUGGGGAGUACGGCCGCAAGGUUA